GGGCUCACACAAGCGGUGGAGCAUGUGGCUUAAUUCGAGGCUACGCGAAGAACCUUAUCCUAGGCUUGACAUGUGCGAAAGCGGCAGCAAGUACCCUGCGGAAACGUUAGGGGAACGGUAUCCAAUCCGGAAGCUGCUACAGGUGCUGCAUGGCUGUCGUCAGCUCGUGUCGUGAGAUGUCGGGUUAAGUCCCAUAACGAGCGAAACCCUUGUUUCCAGUUGCCAGCGGGUCAUGCCGGGGACUCUGGAAAGACUGCCGGUGUCAAACCGGAGGAAGGUGGGGAUGACGUCAAGUCCUCAUGGCCUUUAUGCCUAGGGCUGCACACGUGCUACAAUGCCGUGAACAAAGGGACGCAAACUUGCAAAAGGGAGCAAAUCCCAGAAAACACGGCCCAGUUCAGAUCGAAGGCUGCAACUCGCCUUCGUGAAGUCGGAAUCGCUAGUAAUCGCGGGUCAGCAACACCGCGGUGAAUGUGUUCCUGAGCCUU
rnacentral:rRNA from 1 species